CAGGAGCAGUGUCCAAGUUUAGGACAAAUUGGGGAAAAAACCUCCUAAAGAACUCAGAAAGAACUCUCCCCAGGGGGAAAGUGGAAAAAACUUGUUUAUUGGCAAAACACAAGAGAAAACACUUCCCAGUCAGACCCAGAUGGAGAAAUUUCACAGAGACAGAGAGAUGAACUCGGAGAUCUUCGCUGGGAAGGGCAGCAGAGCUUCUUUGGCAAGCUUCCAGAGGCAGUCUCUGAGGUUCAGAUCCGUUUCCCUCUGGAGCCAGUUCCGGUCUUGGGGGGGGAAGAAGGGAGGGGGAAAGAGGGGCAGCCGGGAUAAAAACGAGCAAACAGCUGGGAGCAAAAGCAGCAGCUGGGGGCAAAAGCAGCAGCUGGGAGCAAAAGCAGCAGCAGGGGGGCAAAAAAGCCGCGGCGAGCCAAAAGCCAGCAGCAAGCAAGCAGCAGCAAGCGGCAGCAGCAGCAAAGCAGCAAAGCCGCCCCGGGGAAGGGCCGUCCCACCGCUGGCAGCUCCAUGGGGGGGGGCAGGGAGAGGAGCUAGUCACAACAUCAACAUCAACCCAGAACAUUCCACCCCUUAUCCCAUAUCGUGAUCAUUGACACACGAUUGGGAUAUACACUCACUAAACACAAUAUAAAAACUUUCUCUGACUUGCUCAAACCUUCAAUACUUGCACGUUUCCUUCUUCUCACUUGCUCAGGCCUUCACCACUUACACAUUUCCUUCUGUUUCAUAUUCAUAUGAUUUAGCAUACAGGCAACGGUGGUUACACUCAACAAUAACAUCACCCUACAAUCAGAUCUCCCUGAGGUACGCAGCGGGUUGUUCCAUCUUUCUGCAUUAUCCACCAAGUACAUCCUGGUCCUUGAGCAAAGGCAAUCCCACGAAUGGGUUUGCCUGUACUCGAGGCAGGAUUAAUCCACACUGUCUUCCCUAGCAAACCUCUGAUAUGGGCCACUGGGACUUUGUCUCCAUCCACUAUAUUGAGGCACUCAGACUGGGCGGGACCUGCUCGGUUGGUGGAACCUCGAGUGUUGACUAACCAAGUGGCCUUUGCCAAAUGCUGCUCCCAGUUCCUGAGGGAUCCCCCACCCAAUGCCUUUAAGGUGGUCUUCAACAAUCCAUUGUACCUCUCCACUCUACCUGCAGCUGGUGCAUGGUAAGGGAUAUGGUACACCCACUCAAUACCGUGUUCCCUAGCCCAGGUGUUAACAAGGUUGUUCUUAAAAUGAGUCCCAUUGUCGGACUCAAUCCUCUCAGGGGUACCGUGCCUCCAAAGGACCUGCUUUUCCAGGCCCAAGAUAGUGUUGCAAGCAGUAGCAUGGGAAACAGGGUAGGUCUCCAACCAUCCGGUGGUGGCUUCCACCAUGGUCAGCACGUAGAGCUUGCCCUGGCGGGUCUGAGGCAGUGUGAUGUAGUCAAUCUGCCAGGCCUCUCCGUACUUAUAUUUGGACCACCGCCCCCCAUACCAGAAGGGCUUCACCCGCUUGGCCUGCUUGAUGGCAGCACACGUCUCACAGUCAUGGAUAACCUGGGAAAUACUGUCCAUGGUUAGAUCCACCCCUCGGUCUCGUGCCCACUUAUAGGUGGCAUCUCUGCCCUGAUGGCCUGAGGCAUCAUGGGCCCAUCGAGCCAGGAACAACUCUCCCUUAUGUUCCCAAUCCAAAUCUAUUUCCAACCCCCCUAUCUUUGCGGCCUGAUCUACUUGCUGAUUAUUUUGCUGCUCUUCAUUAGCUUUAUUUCUGGGGACAUGGGCAUCUACAGGGCGAACCCUCACAGGUAGUUUUUCUAACCGAGUAGCAAUGUCUUUCCACUCUUCAGCAGCCCAGAUUGGUCUUCCUCUACGCUGCCAGUUCGCUUCUUUCCAUUUCUUCAUCCAUCCCCACAGAGCAUUAGCUACCAUCCAGGAAUCAGUGUAUAAACAGAGCUUUGGCCACCUUUCUCUUUCGGCAAUAUUUAAGGCCAGUUGGACGGCUUUAAGUUCAGCGAACUGACUAGAUCCCCCUUCUCCUUCUGUAGCCUCUGCAACCCGUCAUGUGGGGCUCCAUACGGCUGCUUUGCAUCUCUGAUUCGUCCCUACGACGCGACAGGAGCCGUCAGUGAACAGAGCUUAGCGUGUUUCCUCUGCUGGCAGCUGGUUGUAGGGCCGGGGCUUCUUCAGCCCGGGUCACUGGUUCUUGUUCCUCGUCUGUAACACUAAAACUUUCACCUUCUGGCCAGUUAGUAAUUAUUUCUAAAAUUCCAGGACGAUUCAGUUUUCCAAUUCGGGCACGCUGUGUAAUGAGAGCAAUCCAUUUGCUCCAUGUAGCACUGGUAGCAUGGUGAGUGGAGGGAAUCUUUCCUCUAAACAUCCACCCCAACACCGGCAGUCGGGGUGCCAGGAAGAGCUGUACUUCUGUACCAACCACCUCUGAAGCAGCUUGGACUCCUUCAUAGGCGGCCAAGAUUUCCUUCUCCGUUGGAGUGUAGUUAGCUUCAGACCCUCUGUAGCUCUGACUCCAGAAUCCCAGUGGUCGGCCUCGGGUCUCACCAUGCACCUUCUGCCACAGACUCCAAGACAAACCAUGGUUUCCAUCUGCAGAGUAUAGCACGUUCUUCACAUCUGGUUCUGUUCUGACUGGACCAAGGGCCACGACAUGAGCGAUUUCCUGCUUUAUCUGGGCAAAAGCUUGUUGCUGCUCAGGGCCCCAGUGGAAGUUGUUCUUUUUUCGGGUAACCAGGUAAAGAGGACUCACAAUCUGACUGUACUUAGGAAUAUGCAUCCUCCAGAAACCUAUGGCACCUAAGAAAGCUUGUGUCUCCUUCUUGUUGGUUGGUGGGGACAUAGCCGUUAAGGCCAGUUGGACGGCUUUAAGUUCAGCGAACUGACUAGAUCCCCCUUCUCCUUCUGUAGCCUCUGCAACCCGUCAUGUGGGGCUCCAUACGGCUGCUUUGCAUCUCUGAUUCGUCCCUACGACGCGACAGGAGCCGUCAGUGAACAGAGCUUAGCGUGUUUCCUCUGCUGGCAGCUGGUUGUAGGGCCGGGGCUUCUUCAGCCCGGGUCACUGGUUCUUGUUCCUCGUCUGUAACACUAAAACUUUCACCUUCUGGCCAGUUAGUAAUUAUUUCUAAAAUUCCAGGACGAUUCAGUUUUCCAAUUCGGGCACGCUGUGUAAUGAGAGCAAUCCAUUUGCUCCAUGUAGCACUGGUAGCAUGGUGAGUGGAGGGAAUCUUUCCUCUAAACAUCCACCCCAACACCGGCAGUCGGGGUGCCAGGAAGAGCUGUACUUCUGUACCAACCACCUCUGAAGCAGCUUGGACUCCUUCAUAGGCGGCCAAGAUUUCCUUCUCCGUUGGAGUGUAGUUAGCUUCAGACCCUCUGUAGCUCUGACUCCAGAAUCCCAGUGGUCGGCCUCGGGUCUCACCAUGCACCUUCUGCCACAGACUCCAAGACAAACCAUGGUUUCCAUCUGCAGAGUAUAGCACGUUCUUCACAUCUGGUUCUGUUCUGACUGGACCAAGGGCCACGACAUGAGCGAUUUCCUGCUUUAUCUGGGCAAAAGCUUGUUGCUGCUCAGGGCCCCAGUGGAAGUUGUUCUUUUUUCGGGUAACCAGGUAAAGAGGACUCACAAUCUGACUGUACUUAGGAAUAUGCAUCCUCCAGAAACCUAUGGCACCUAAGAAAGCUUGUGUCUCCUUCUUGUUGGUUGGUGGGGACAUAGCCGUGAUCUUGUUGAUGACAUCAGUAGGAAUCUGGUGCCGUCCAUCUUCCCACUUCACUCCUAAGAACUGAAUAUUCUGAGCAGGUCCCUUAACUUUAUUCUUCUUGAUAGUGAAGCCGGCUUUCAGGAGGAUUUGAAUAAUUUUCUCUCCUUUCUCAAACACCUCUGCUGCUGUGUUUCCCCAUACAAUGAUGUCAUCAAUAUAUUGUAAAUGUUCUGGAGCUUCACCUUUUUCUAGUGUCAUUUGGAUCAGUCCAUGACAGAUGGUAGGACUGUGCUUCCACCCCUGGGACAGUCGGUUCCAAGUAUAUUGCACACCCCUCCAUGUAAAGGCAAACUGAGGCCUGCAUUCUGCUGC
rnacentral:lncRNA from 12 species